ACACACAGACACACAGACUGCAUGAACUAGUAUCCUACAUCAGGGUUAUGUAUGUAACACACAUAUCUGCAUACAGAGUUAUAUCUGAAUUGUACUACACAGUCCCUGUGUUUAAACUGGCUGUGUUACACAGCUCAACCCAGCACCAAAUGCACAACUGAACUUAAAAUGUACAUUGGAAUUCUUCAUGUGCAUCCAUGCACAAUUAACAUUUUCACAUAUAAUGGAAUCACAUACGCCACUCUACUUUGUCCAGGGUGCACUUGUUCCCCAUUAGAGAAAAAUGCCCAACUGCUUCUCUAGGGAAACAGGUGCUUCUUGUAUGUUAUCUAGGAGUUAUGAGCCAACUGCCACCUGAAAUUAUGGCUUAGAAUGGCAAAUGAUUACUUAAGAUACUAGGAAAGACUAUGAAAUUGUUAGGUAUCACAACUUUCGAACUGUAUUGUCUAGGGAUGCAUCUAUAAUGUUGAAUUAAUAGAGUUUGGUAGCACUUUGACUGUCUUAGCUCAAUGGUGUAGAAUCAUAUAAUUGUAGUUUUAUAAUCUCUUUAGCCUUCUCCACCAAAGAGUUUUGGUGCUUCACCAAAUUAUAAAUCUCAUUAAUCCUUAACAUUGAGCCAUGGUAGUUGAAGAGGUGUCAAAGUGCAUUAAUUCUACAAUGUAGAUGCAUCCCUGGUUCCAACUUAAGACUUGUAGUAAUGGGAAAAACUGUAAAAGUGUCCUCUUCAUGAACAAUCUGCCACCAUCAGCACAAGUUCAUUUUAACACAGCCUACUUUCUUUCAGUACUGGAAAUUUCUGUUACAGAGCAAAAGAAGAGAAAGAUGUGAGAUACAGCUCUUCUAAAUUUUACUGAUUGCCCUCGAGUUCCCUUGAUGUCACAGCCUGAAGGAGAAGUUUCUGAUGGUGGGAAGAAUGCCAGCUGGUGGUUGGACAGUUUAGAGACACCGUCCAUUGUAGAGACAUCCCUUUGGAGAACACAAUCCAGUGGGAAAUGGUGAUGUGGAUAUGCUGAUGAAUCCCUGAUUAACUCAAGUGUCCAGUUCUGUGUGAAACAAAGGUUGCAAGACCCAAGAGACAAAGGUAAUGAUUCCAGACAAUCAAGAUCUUGGCUGCUCCUAUAGAGAGUUAAUGAAUAGAGAGUUACCUCACAACCUCUGAGGAUGCCUGCCAUAGAUGUGGGCGAAACGUCAGGAGAGAAUGCUUCUGGAACAUGGCCACACAGCCCGAAAGACAUACAACAACCCAGUUAAUGAAUUCAUAUUUGCUGAAUCUGCUCUUCCAUGGGAGUGGCAGACUCUCAGACUCAAGUUGAAUGAACAAAAAUCCUGAACUCAUCUUGGUGGGAAAGAGGAUCAUCUAUCUUCAUACACACACAAAGAUCUUGAUAUUUAUCUGGUUUGGGAAACAGCCUGACCAUGAUCUCAUUUCCCAAGGAAUUAUGCAAACUGAGGGUAUAGAGAGGUAGCUACCUUCUAGAUACAUUUUGAUACAUUGCAUUUGAUACAGCUUAUACAUUGUAUACUUUUAGGAAUUGACACAGUUCAUAAAAGAUACAAGUUAUACAAAAUCAUCAAAUUAAUAUGGUUUGUUAAAAGGUUAGAUUUGAUAUAGUUUUUAGGGUACAGCUAAUUAUUUAUUUAUUUACAGCAUUUAUAUUCCGCCCUUCUCACCCCGAAGGGGACUCAGGGCGGAUCACAUUACACAUAUAGGCAAACAUUCAAUGCCUUUUAACAUAGAACAAAGACAAACAAACAUAGGCUCCGAGCGGGCCUCGAACUCAUGACCUCCUGGUCAGAGUGAUUCAUUGCAGUGAUUCAUUGCAGCUGCUCUCCAGCCUGCGCCACAGCCUGAGCCCAGGUCCAUUCUGGAACCUCUAGCAGUUUGCAACUUUGAAGCCAUGUAAAAUGUUUUAAUAAUAAAGAACAAAUCAUAUAUACCUCACAACCUCUGAGGAUGCCUGCCAUAGAUGUGGGUGAAACAUCAGGUGAGAAUGCUUCUGGAACAUGGCCAUACAGCCCAGAAAACACACAACAACCCCGCAAAAUCAUACAUUUUGCUCGGAGUCUCUUGGUAAUCUAUACACCUUUGGCAGCGGGGUUGCUGUAGCUUGAUAACAAAAGUAACUGAUGGGAAGUCAUGGAAAAAAGGAGCAAACUUAUCUGCUGUUCCAGGAAUUAGAAUACAAUCUAAUGGAUUCCAAUUAUGAGAGAAGAGAAUCCACCUAAACAUGAGGAAAAGUCUCUCAACUGAAGGAGGUCUUAGAUACUGGAACAGAUUUACUUGAAUGAUGGGUUGACACUCACUAUUUUGAAGUAUUGCAAUAGAGACUGGAUAGGCAUCUUUUAGGAGUGUGUUAAUUGUGUAUUUCUGCAUGGCAAUGAGUUAGAAUAGAUGGCCCUUUUGGCCCUUCCUCAUUAGCCAUUUUGGUCCUUACUCAUUGGCCAUAUAGGAAAAGUUGACCAAUGGGUUGACUGGAAACUAGGCUUGUGUAUUUUGGGUGAAUUGCUAACGGUUUCUGCUUGGGCAUUUUCAUUUUACAUCCUAAAAAACAGUUCUUUCCGGCCCAUUGGUGGCAAUGGGGAACUUAUGAGCCUUCUCUUUCCCUUGGGAGCCUUUCCUUUCUUCCCUUCAGCAAUGGGUUAAAAAAGCAUCCUAUCCAGCCCAUUAUUGGGGGGGGGGGGGGUUCCCAUAGGCUCCCCUUCCAUAUCCUUCAUUAAGACCUGGAUUUUAAAAUGCAUCAGAGUUCCCACUCUUAAGUUUCUGGAUCCUUUCCCUGUAGAGGAGGAGACCAGGUUUAAUGCUUCUUAAAGCUGUUCUACUUUAGAGGAGAGGCAGGCGUGCAUGCUUUCUUCUCUCCCAGCACCAGCAGCAUGCCAUGCAGCUUUCCAAGAUAUUUUAAAGAACCCUGGUGGCGCAGUGUGUUAAAGCGCUGAGCUGCUGAACUUGCAGACCAAAAGGUCACAGGUUCGAAUCCAGGGAGCGGAGUGAGCACACACUGUUAGCUCCAGCUUCUGCCAACCUAGCAGUUCGAAAACAUGCAAAUGUGAGCUGAUCAAUAGGUAUCGCUCCAGCGGGAAGGUAACGGCACUCCAUGCAGUCAUGCCGGCCACAUGACCUUGGAGGUGUCUACGGACAAUGCCAGCUCUUUAGCUUAGAAAUGGAGAUGAACACCAACCCCCAGAGUCAGACACGACUAGACUUAACGUCAGGGGAAAUCUUUACCUUUACCAAAGGAAAAAAGAAUUAUGACCUGGAGCUCAGUGGAGCUACCUUAAAAAUCCCCUCUCUUGCCUGCAAGGCUGCAAUCUCUUUUCUGCUAGGGGUUUUGCUUCCUUAAAGCAGUUUCUACUUUGUAUUCUAGAGGAAAAGUAGGCUUCUAUUUUUUUUUUUGCUGGGAUUACUAUUAUUAAUAAUAUUGUUUUAGAAGUAUUUCCUGAAGGAGAGGAAGCAGAGAAGAAAAAGAAGGUAAACGGAUGACUCUCUAUCUCCAAGCCCCCAAACACAUGUGCUGCACUCCACCCGCUGUCCCCCAGGUCCCCAACUCCCAAUGAGUCCCACUAAAUAAAAAGAAUCAGGAAAAUAAAGGAAAAUCUAAAAGAUUAAACUGUGAUGCCCAAUGAGGGAGGAGGAGCCAAGAUUGGCUCCCACUUGCUUUCGUGUUGGGUGGGUUUUUGUACCAAAAGGACCCUUACCAUUACGGGCUUCUGGAGGUACCAAAAGUACCGAAGGAAACGGAAUCAGCGCACAGGUCUCCCAGAAACCACUAAGCUUCAGAAUGCUAUGACCAUCUGAUUUUGCUGUGUGUUUCUGAUUUUACAAUGUAUUUCCUUUUUGCUUGUCUACACUGUUUUCAGUUGAUGUUCAAGUCCUUCCAAUUAGUGACGUGGUGCCCUGGACCAGUCCUGGAUUCUCAUGACCAUGUGGAUGAACCCAGUAUCUGCAGUUCAUGUUUCAGAUUGUUUCUUUGUUACCUCUUUAGUGAAUAUGAUUUCUGGGUGAAGAACUUCUCCCACACAACUCCACCAUCCUAUCUGGUUAAAACAUCUUUCAAUACAGCUCACAUUGACCUCCCUUGCCAUCACAUUGCUGUAAUAUAAUUAAAACCAUUGGCCUGUAAUUUA